AACGAACGCUGGCGGCAUGCCUAACACAUGCAAGUCGAACGAGACCUUCGGGUCUAGUGGCGCACGGGUGCGUAACGCGUGGGAACCUGCCCUUAGGUUCGGAAUAACUCCCCGAAAGGGGUGCUAAUACCGGAUAAUGUCGUCGGACCAAAGAUUUAUCGCCUUUGGAUGGGCCCGCGUUGGAUUAGCUAGUUGGUAGGGUAAAAGCCUACCAAGGCGACGAUCCAUAGCUGGUCUGAGAGGAUGAUCAGCCACACUGGGACUGAGACACGGCCCAGACUCCUACGGGAGGCAGCAGUGGGGAAUAUUGGACAAUGGGCGAAAGCCUGAUCCAGCAAUGCCGCGUGAGUGAUGAAGGCCUUAGGGUUGUAAAGCUCUUUUACCCGGGAUGAUAAUGACAGUACCGGGAGAAUAAGCACCGGCUAACUCCGUG
rnacentral:rRNA from 1 species